rnacentral:rRNA from 1 species
AGCUCCAAUAGUAUAUAUUAGUGUUGUUGCAGUUAAAGCGCUCGUAGUUGGAUUUUGGCGCUGUUGAAUUGGUCCACCGAAAGGUGUGCACUGGUUUAAUAGAGCUUCCUUCUGAAGAACUUGCAUUCUCUUGAUUGGGUGUGUAAGCUAUUCAGGACUUUUACUUUGAAAAAAUUAGAGUGUUCAAAGCAGGCCUUCGCUUGAAUACAUUAGCAUGGAAUAAUAAAAUAGGACUUUGGUUCUAUUUUGUUGGUUUUCGGAACUGAAGUAAUGAUUAAUAGGGAUAGUUGGGGCCAUCAGUAUUUCUUCGUCAGAGGUGAAAUUCUUGGAUUGAAGAAAGACUAACUUCUGCGAAAGCAUUUGGCAAGGAUGUUUUCAUUAAUCAAGAACGAAAGUACGC